AGCCGUUGAGCGAGACACUUCUGGGGAAGCCUCCUUUAGAUUCCAAGAUUUUGCACUUGCAAGCAAUUGGAAUCUCAGUUCAUGUUCGCGGCUUCAUCUCAAGUUGUCCUCCCGUGUCUUCACUGAUAUGGACAAUGAAGUGAUUGAGGAUGAUGAUGACAUCAAUUUGAAAUCAUUUGGUGAUGAACUUGAUGCUCCUCCCGGAUUUAGAGAUACAAAUAAUCCUAUUGAAGUUGAAGAUGAAGAAGAUGAGAAUGAAGAUGAUGAUAGUGAUGCUAGUGGUGGAACAUCUAGUUCACAUGAUUAUAUUGAUUUCAAUUUUCUUCAUAACAAAUGAGGCUUGGGUCUAGUUGUUUGUUUGAAACUUUAAAACUUAUUUACUAUUUGGAUGUAAUGAACUUUUUUGUUAUUUGCCAUUUGGAUGUAAAUGUAAUGAUUAAUGAACUUAUUUAUUUGGUUUUGUUGAAAGUUUAUUAUGUUAAGGAUGAUUGUUUUGUAA